UAUACACUAAAACUGCUUUAUUUAGCUAAAGUAAUGUAGGUGACUAUAGUGUUCCUUUAAUUGAAACACAACACGCUUGGCUUAUGGGAACAUUUAGUGUAAAUAUGAUAGAUAGAUUCUUCUGUAUUUUAAUCUUUCACUGAGUAAAAAGUAAAAUUCUGCAUCUCGUUAUUCCGGCUGGAAGAAAUGCAUUUAAUGCAGAAAUUAAUAAGCUUCAAAAUUCUCAGACCUUAUAAUAUGUAGAAUUAUUGUUUGCGCCAUUCAUUAAUCCGCACAUGAUUCAGACGUUAUUAACACCAACACAUAGUAAGAGGAGUUUCACGUGAGCCUUUGUGUAUAUAAAAAUCAUUUUAGGGAUUUUGCUGAAAUACGC